rnacentral:rRNA from 1 species
CGUGUAGGCGGGAUUGCAGGUCAGAUGUGAAAACUGGGGGCUCAACCUCCAGCCUGCAUUUGAAACUGUAGUUCUUGAGUGCUGGAGAGGCAAUCGGAAUUCCGUGUGUAGCGGUGAAAUGCGUAGAUAUACGGAGGAACACCAGUGGCGAAGGCGGAUUGCUGGACAGUAACUGACGCUGAGGCGCGAAAGCGUGGGGAGCAAACA